UCCGUAUCUAUAUUGCGGUAUCUCUUUGUUUAGGGAUUUGAUUUUCUGAAUUGAUGCUAAAUUGAUUCUUAAAUUUGCUUACCGAUUUGAAGGUUAUUCUUAAUUUUGAUAUUUCUAGGUUAAUUUUGAUACUUUUGAUUUGAUUUUAAGUUGUGUAUCAACUUUUCUUUUUGAUUUUGAUACUUUUGAUUUGAUUCUAAGUUGUUUAUUAACUUUUCUUGUUGAUUUUGAGUUGUUUCACCAUCUUCUUCACUGAUGGAGCACAUGUUGGAUUCUCGGAGAUUAACUUCCUUCGAUCCGUCAUGCUUCAAUCGAAAAAUUUAGUAACACAGGUCAUGGACUCAUGGAGGUUACUAAACUUGGAAUGUGGGCUACUUUAGAUGGUAUGAAAAUACCUGAUGACAUCGUGCUCUUAUGACAGGGUCUGCUUUUUUAGGUGCAACUUCUCCAAUUCCUUGUUCCCGUCAUGUCUUAACUCACGGUACUCUCCGAUUGUGAUGCUUCCAAUACUUAAUCCUUUGGUUGGAGAGAAAGUGAUUCUAUUUUCUGCCUUACUUGCAUCAAUAUUAUUAGGAGUUUUAUAUAAGGCAUAAGGAUAGCACACCAGUUAGUUCAUGACUAGAUCGUCAACAUGCGAUUCAUUGUUUGCAAGUUGCAGUGGAGAGAAGAUCAUGUGAGGAUUAUGUGAUUAUGUGUAUUUCAAGACAAGGCUCCUUUUGUUGCUUAGGCAGACAAGUUGAAAGAGGAGCGUGAAAAGACGACUCGUGAAUAUGCUCGAUUUUAGCAUAAGAGUUUGUGGUGUAAAUUACUUAUUUAUUAUUUUUAAACCUUUACUUAGAAGUUUGUGGUGUUGUAGAGGUAUGGUUUGUGCUAAGGUUGAAUCAAAUCAAAAUAAGUGAAUCAAAAUAGGUCCUUCAAGUGUUGAUCUGCGUAUCAGUUCUUGUUGGAGGUGAGAUUAGUGGUCUUUUGGUGGAGUGGUAGGCGAGGGUAAGUUUAGGCUAGUAUCGCUGGAUGUUUGUAGCAAAUGUGUGCAAGCACAUUUUAUUUUUUUGACUGCAAUUCCUGUUUCAUUUUGAUUGGAUUUACCAACUUACUUUGUUGUUGAAAUUUAAUUUACAGAA